GACGAACGCUGGCGGCGUGCUUAACACAUGCAAGUCGAACGGAAAGGCCCUGCUUUUGUGGGGUGCUCGAGUGGCGAACGGGUGAGUAACACGUGAGUAACCUGCCCUUGACUUUGGGAUAACUUCAGGAAACUGGGGCUAAUACCGGAUAGGAGCUCCUGCUGCAUGGUGGGGGUUGGAAAGUUUCGGCGGUUGGGGAUGGACUCGCGGCUUAUCAGCUUGUUGGUGGGGUAGUGGCUUACCAAGGCUUUGACGGGUAGCCGGCCUGAGAGGGUGACCGGCCACAUUGGGACUGAGAUACGGCCCAGACUCUUACGGGAGGCAGCAGUGGGGAAUAUUGCACAAUGGGCGGGAGCCUGAUGCAGCAACGCCGCGUGCGGGAUGACGGCCUUCGGGUUGUAAACCGCUUUCGCCUGUGACGAAGCGUGAGUGACGGUAAUGGGUAAAGAAGCACCGGCUAACUACGUG
rnacentral:rRNA from 1 species